UACCGAGGGUGCGAGCGUUAAUCGGAAUUACUGGGCGUAAAGCGUGCGUAGCCGGUUAUGUAAGUCAGGUGUGAAAGCCCCGGGCUCAACCUGGGAAUUGCAUUUGAGACUGCAUAGCUAGGGUGCGGAAGAGGGAAGCGGAAUUUCCGGUGUAGCGGUGAAAUGCGUAGAUAUCGGAAGGAACAUCAGUGGCGAAAGCGGCUUCCUGGUCCAGCACCGACGUUCAGGCACGAAAGCGUGGGGAGCAAACAGG
rnacentral:rRNA from 1 species